AUUGAACGCUGGCGGCAUGCCUUACACAUGCAAGUCGAACGGCAGCACGGGAGCAAUCCUGGUGGCGAGUGGCGAACGGGUGAGUAAAGUAUCGGAACGUGCCCAGUCGUGGGGGAUAACGUAGCGAAAGUUACGCUAAUACCGCAUACGAUCUAUGGAUGAAAGCGGGGGAUCGCGAGACCUCGCGCGAUUGGAGCGGCCGAUAUCAGAUUAGGUAGUUGGUGGGGUAAAGGCUCACCAAGCCGACGAUCUGUAGCUGGUCUGAGAGGACGACCAGCCACACUGGGACUGAGACACGGCCCAGACUCCUACGGGAGGCAGCAGUGGGGAAUUUUGGACAAUGGGCGAAAGCCUGAUCCAGCCAUGCCGCGUGCAGGAUGAAGGCCUUCGGGUUGUAAACUGCUUUUGUACGGAACGAAAAGGUUUGGGCUAAUAAGCUGAGCUCAUGACGGUACCGUAAGAAUAAGCACCGGCUAACUACGUGCCAGCCGCCGCGGUAAUAC
rnacentral:rRNA from 1 species